UACAGAGGUCUCAAGCGUUGUCCGGAUUUAUUGGGCGUAAAGAGCGUGUAGGCGGCCAGGUAGGUCUGCUGUGAAAACUCGAGGCUUAACCUCGAGCUGUCGGCGGAAACCAUUUGGCUAGAGUCCGGAAGAGGAGAAUGGAAUUCCCGGUGUAGCGGUGAAAUGCGCAGAUAUCGGGAAGAACACCCGUGGCGAAGGCGGUUCUCUGGGACGGGUACUGACGCUGAGACGCGAAAGCGUGGGGAGCGAACAGG
rnacentral:rRNA from 1 species